UACGAAGGGGGCUAGCGUUGCUCGGAAUUACUGGGCGUAAAGCGCACGUAGGCGGCUUUCUAAGUCGGGGGUGAAAUCCUGGAGCUCAACUCCAGAACUGCCUUCGAUACUGGAGAGCUUGAGUCCGGGAGAGGUGAGUGGAACUGCGAGUGUAGAGGUGAAAUUCGUAGAAUAUUCGCAAGAACACCAGGUGGCGAAGGCGGCUCACUGGCCCGGUACUGAC
rnacentral:rRNA from 1 species